rnacentral:rRNA from 1 species
CACAUGCAAGUCGUACGAGAAACCCUGGCUUCGGUUAGGGAAGUAAAGUGGCGCACGGGUGAGUAACACGUGAGUAAUCUACCCUUUUGACUGGAAUAACGUCGGGAAACUGGCGCUAAUACCGGAUAAUGUUUUGAGUCGCUAGGCUCAAAACCAAAGCAGGCCUCUACUUGUAAGCCUGCACAGAAGGAUGAGCUCGCGCCCCAUUAGCUAGUUGGUAGGGUAAUGGCCUACCAAGGCGACGAUGGGUAGCCGGCCUGAGAGGGUGACCGGCCACACUGGAACUGAAACACGGUCCAGACUCCUACGGGAGGCAGCAGUGAGGAAUUUUGCGCAAUGGGCGAAAGCCUGACGCAGCGACGCCGCGUGGGCGAUGAAGCUUCUUGGAGUGUAAAGCCCUGUCAGGUGGGACGAAUUCGGGGUGCAAUAAUAAGGCAUCCCGCUGACGGUACCACCGGAGGAAGCCCCGGCUAACUCCGUGCCAGCAGCCGCGGUAAUACGGAGGGGCGAAGCGUUGUUCGGAAUCACUGGGUGUAAA